GAUGAACGCUGGCGGCGUGCCUAAUACAUGCAAGUCGAGCGAACGGACGAGAAGCUUGCUUUUCUGAUGUUAGCGGCGGACGGGUGAGUAACACGUGGAUAACCUACCUAUAAGACUGGGAUAACUUCGGGAAACCGGAGCUAAUACCGGAUAAUAUUUUGAACCGCAUGGUUCAAAAGUGAAAGACGGUCUUGCUGUCACUUAUAGAUGGAUCCGCGCUGCAUUAGCUAGUUGGUAAGGUAACGGCUUACCAAGGCAACGAUGCAUAGCCGACCUGAGAGGGUGAUCGGCCACACUGGAACUGAGACACGGUCCAGACUCCUACGGGAGGCAGCAGUAGGGAAUCUUCCGCAAUGGGCGAAAGCCUGACGGAGCAACGCCGCGUGAGUGAUGAAGGUCUUCGGAUCGUAAAACUCUGUUAUUAGGGAAGAACAUAUGUGUAAGUAACUGUGCACAUCUUGACGGUACCUAAUCAGAAAGCCACGGUUAACUACGUGCCAGCAGCCGCGGUAAUACGUAGGUGGCAAGCGUUAUCCGGAAUUAUUGGGCGUAAAGCGCGCGUAGGCGGUUUUUUAAGUCUGAUGUGAAAGCCCACGGCUCAACCGUGGAGGGUCAUUGGAAACUGGAAAACUUGAGUGCAGAAGAGGAAAGUGGAAUUCCAUGUGUAGCGGUGAAAUGCGCAGAGAUGUGGAGGAACACCAGUGGCGAAGGCGACUUUCUGGUCUGUAACUGACGCUGAUGUGCGAAAGCGUGGGGAUCAAACAGGAUUAGAUACCCUGGUAGUCCACGCCGUAAACGAUGAGUGCUAAGUGUUAGGGGGUUUCCGCCCCUUAGUGCUGCAGCUAACGCAUUAAGCACUCCGCCUGGGGAGUACGACCGCAAGGUUGAAACUCAAAGGAAUUGACGGGGGCCCGCACAAGCGGUGGAGCAUGUGGUUUAAUUCGAAGCAACGCGAAGAACCUUACCAAAUCUUGACAUCCUUUGACAACUCUAGAGAUAGAGCCUUCCCCUUCGGGGGACAAAGUGACAGGUGGUGCAUGGUUGUCGUCAGCUCGUGUCGUGAGAUGUUGGGUUAAGUCCCGCAACGAGCGCAACCCUUAAGCUUAGUUGCCAUCAUUAAGUUGGGCACUCUAAGUUGACUGCCGGUGACAAACCGGAGGAAGGUGGGGAUGACGUCAAAUCAUCAUGCCCCUUAUGAUUUGGGCUACACACGUGCUACAAUGGACAAUACAAAGGGCAGCGAAACCGCGAGGUCAAGCAAAUCCCAUAAAGUUGUUCUCAGUUCGGAUUGUAGUCUGCAACUCGACUACAUGAAGCUGGAAUCGCUAGUAAUCGUAGAUCAGCAUGCUACGGUGAAUACGUUCCCGGGUCU
rnacentral:rRNA from 1 species